rnacentral:rRNA from 1 species
UACGUAGGGGGCAAGCGUUGUCCGGAAUCAUUGGGCGUAAAGAGCGUGUAGGCGGCUCGGUAAGUCCGCUGUGAAAGUCCAGGGCUCAACCCUGGAAUGCCGGUGGAAACUGUCGAGCUAGAGUACGGAAGAGGCGAGUGGAAUUCCUGGUGUAGCGGUGGAAUGCGCAGAUAUCAGGAGGAACACCGAUGGCGAAGGCAGGUCUCUGGGCCGAUACUGACGCUGAGGAGCGAAAGCGUGGGGAGCGAACAGG